UGUGAAUGUUGGCCUUGAAGGA
rnacentral:piRNA from 1 species